UUAACCGGAGAAGUGCAUNGGAAACUGGAUAACUUGAGUGCAGAAGAGGGUAGUGGAACUCCAUGUGUAGCGGUGGAAUGCGUAGAUAUAUGGAAGAACACCAGUGGCGAAGGCGGCUACNUGGUCUGCAACUGACGCUGUGACUCGAAAGCAUGGGUAGCGAACAGGAUUAGAUACCCUGGUAGUCCAUGCCGUAAACGAUGAGUGCUAGGUGUUGGAGGGUUUCCGCCCUUCAGUGCCGGAGCUAACGCAUUAAGCACUCCGCCUGGGGAGUACGACCGCAAGGUUGAAACUCAAAGGAAUUGACGGGGGCCCGCACAAGCGGUGGAGCAUGUGGUUUAAUUCGAAGCUACGCGAAGAACCUUACCAGGUCUUGACAUCUUGCGCCAACCCCAGAGAUAGGGCGUUUCCUUCGGGAACGCAAUGACAGGUGGUGCAUGGUCGUCGUCAGCUCGUGUCGUGAGAUGUUGGGUUAAGUCCCGCAACGAGCGCAACCCUUGUUACUAGUUGCCAGCAUUAAGUUGGGCACUCUAGUGAGACUGCCGGUGACAAACCGGAGGAAGGUGGGGACGACGUCAGAUCAUCAUGCCCCUUAUGACCUGGGCUACACACGUGCUACAAUGGACGGUACAACGAGUCGCGAACUCGCGAGGGCAAGCAAAUCUCUUAAAACCGUUCUCAGUUCGGACUGCAGGCUGCAACUCGCCUGCACGAAGUCGGAAUCGCUAGUAAUCGCGGAUCAGCAUGCCGCGGUGAAUACGUUCCCGGGCCUUGUACACNCCGCCCGUCACACCAUGAGAGUUUGUAACACC
rnacentral:rRNA from 1 species